rnacentral:misc_RNA from 1 species
AAGUAAAAAGUCGUAACAAGGUUUCCGUAGGUGAACCUGCGGAAGGAUCAUUAUUGAAAUUAUAGGCAAAGGUUGUAGCUGGCCUCUCGGGGCAUGUGCACGCCUGAGCCCCUCAAUCCACACACACCUGUGAACCAAUUGUAAGGGCCCCCUGAAAAGGGCCUUUACGUCUUAUUCAUCAACCCAUUGCAUGUCUCAGAAUGUAAACAUAUGUCCUCGCCUUAAAAAGCGUUGAUAAACUUAUACAACUUUCAACAACGGAUCUCUUGGCUCUCGCAUCGAUGAAGAACGCAGCGAAAUGCGAUAAGUAAUGUGAAUUGCAGAUUUUCAGUGAAUCAUCGAAUCUUUGAACGCACCUUGCGCUCCUUGGUAUUCCGAGGAGCAUGCCUGUUUGAGUGUCAUUAAAUUCUCAACUCCGAUCGAUUUGUUUCGACCUCGGAGCUUGGACUUUGGAGUGUGCUGGCGUCGGUCGGCUCCUCUCAAAUGCAUCAGCGGAAUCUAACGUUUCGGACGUCAGUGUGAUAAUCACGUUGCGCUGUCAACCGAUCCUGAAAGGCCCGCUCAUAAUGGUCUUCGGACAACUUCAUAUCAAAUUUGACCUCAAAUCAGGUAGGACUACCCGCUGAACUUAAGCAUAUCAAUAAGCGGAGGAAAAGAAACUAACAAGGAUUCCCCUAGUAACUGCGAGUGAAGCGGGAAAAGCUCAAAUUUAAAAUCUGGCGGUCUUGCGGCCGUCCGAGUUGUAAUCUGGAGAAGCGUCUAUCCGCGCCGGACCGUGUACAAGUCUUCUGGAAGGGAGCGUCGUAGAGGGUGAGAAUCCCGUCUUUGACACGGACAACCGGUGCUUUUGUGAUGCGCUCUCGAAGAGUCGAGUUGUUUGGGAAUGCAGCUCAAAAUGGGUGGUAAAUUCCAUCUAAAGCUAAAUAUUGGCGAGAGACCGAUAGCGAACAAGUACCGUGAGGGAAAGAUGAAAAGCA